UUUAGGGUUUUUGGGUUUCUGCUUACAACAAAAAAGAUUUUAACCCUUUUUC
rnacentral:tRNA from 1 species